CAGCAGAGUUCAAUACACAAACCAGAAACAUUACCUUUAUUCAACAUGCUGUCACUGCACACAACUUUCUCUACUAUUACUCUACUGUACAUCAUAACAGGUGUCAGCUGUGAAGAACUCACUCCAGUAAAGGAUGAAGAGUCCAGUUUAGAAGACAGCACUGUUACUCUGUCCUACACAUACUCUAAACCAGUGGUUCUCAAUUAUUUUCUGUCAUGCCCCCCCUAGAGGAAAGAAAUUUUUUCACGCCCCCCCUGAAUUUUAAUACUAUUGAGAAACUGAUAAUAUUUAUUUAUCGGUACAAACCACUGUAUGAGUUGCUGGCACCAGCAUUCUGCAUACAAUCACCUGAUUAUCAAAAUGGAUUAAUAAAAUGAGCUGAGAUAACAUCUGCAGCAACUUAAAACUAUUUCCAAGUUCAGUUUAUUAACUCAAUUUGUAACAUUUAAACAAGACUGCUCAGUCUGUGUGAUUCUCAAAACAGAGAAAAAAGUGCAAAUGAUUCACUGGGAUGUGCAUUUUUAUAGACUUAACACAGUAACAUUCAAAACUUUUUUAAACUAUAAACACUGGUCACUUGUCAGCUUCAUCAGCUUAUUCCUUUUCAAAAAGAUAUAUGACUUUUUAACAUUUAUUUUUUUGUGCAAAAUUUGCAACAAUAUUACUUAUUUUUAACGUUUGUCUGUUAGAUGUUCUGUGAGUUGUUCUUGAAGGUCGUCUGAAAUGUCAAAUAUACGUCUCCCGAUUGUGUCACUGGAAAGAGGGACAGUAUUCAGUGUCUCAGCACUUUUCUCACCUAUGAUUGUGACCAUGUCCAAUGCUGCCGGAGUAUUAGCUCCUCUGCUAUUGUGUGAUGGUUUUUUGCACCUUGCUAUGUGGCGGUGUUUGUACGAGGCUAACGGUGCGUUUUUAUUUAGGGUUAUUUAGGUCAGUGCUAUGGAUUCAGGUCUAUCUAUUUUUGAAUUUCAUGUAAGUUAUGACACAGCUGCACUUUUAUUUUCUUUAUUUUUGAACUUGCUGUUAUUUGAUGUAGAUAGUUAGUUUGUAUUUAGAUACAACUUGUUACUAUACUGAUACUACUUGUUACUUCAAUAAAUUGGAACAUUUUAA